UUUUUUUUUUUUCCUGUUGCUUUUCAGUCUCUGAAUCUGCAGAGUGACAGAAUCCUGGAAUGGUUUGGGUGGAAGGGCCCUGACAGAUCAUCCAGUUCCAGCCCCAACAGCCCUGUCCAGCCCGGCCUUGGGCACUUCCAGGGCUGGGGAACCCCUCACCUCUCCAGGAUCACCCAUCCCGAUUUUCCACCUUUCCUCAUCCCGAUUUUCCACCUUCCCUCAUCCCGAUUUUCCACCUUUCCUCAUCCUGAUUUUCCACCCUUCCUCAUCCAGAUUUUCCACCUUUCCUCAUCCAGAUUUUCCACCUUUCCUCAUCCCGAUUUUCCCCCUUCCUCAUCCCGAUUUUCCACCUGUCCUAAUCCCGAUUUUCCACCUUCCCUCAUCCCGAUUUUCCACCCUUCCUCUUCCCGAUUUUCCACCUUCCCUCAUCCCGAUUUUCCACCUUUCCUCAUCCUGAUUUUCCACCCUCCUAAUCCCGAUUUUCCACCCUUCCUCAUCCCGAUUUUCCACCUUUCCUCAUCCAAAUUUUCCCCGCUUCCUCAUCCCGAUUUUCCACCCUUCCUCAUCCCGAUUUUCCACCUUUCCUCAUCCAAAUUUUCCCCGCUUCCUCAUCCCGAUUUUCCACCCUUCCUCAUCCCGAUUUUCCACCUUUCCUCAUCCAAAUUUUCCCCGCUUCCUCAUCCCGAUUUUCCACCCUUCCUCAUCCCGAUUUUCCACCUUUCCUCAUCCAAAUUUUCCCCGCUUCCUCAUCCCGAUUUUCCACCCUUCCUCAUCCCGAUUUUCCACCUUUCCUCAUCCAAAUUUUCCCCGCUUCCUCAUCCCGAUUUUCCACCCUUCCUCAUCCCGAUUUUCCACCUUUCCUCAUCCAAAUUUUCCCCGCUUCCUCAUCCCGAUUUUCCACCCUUCCUCAUCCCGAUUUUCCACCUUUCCUCAUCCAAAUUUUCCCCGCUUCCUCAUCCCGAUUUUCCACCCUUCCUCAUCCCGAUUUUCCACCUUUCCUCAUCCAAAUUUUCCCCGCUUCCUCAUCCCGAUUUUCCACCCUUCCUCAUCCCGAUUUUCCACCUUUCCUCAUCCAAAUUUUCCCCGCUUCCUCAUCCCGAUUUUCCACCCUUCCUCAUCCCGAUUUUCCACCUUUCCUCAUCCAAAUUUUCCCCGCUUCCUCAUCCCGAUUUUCCACCCUUCCUCAUCCCGAUUUUCCACCUUUCCUCAUCCAAAUUUUCCCCGCUUCCUCAUCCCGAUUUUCCACCCUUCCUCAUCCCGAUUUUCCACCUUUCCUCAUCCAAAUUUUCCCCGCUUCCUCAUCCCGAUUUUCCACCCUUCCUCAUCCCGAUUUUCCACCUUUCCUCAUCCAAAUUUUCCCCGCUUCCUCAUCCCGAUUUUCCACCCUUCCUCAUCCCGAUUUUCCACCUUUCCUCAUCCCGAUUUCCCCCCCUUCCUCAUCCCGAUUUUUCCCUCCAUCUGCACCUGGGGACGGUGCUUACCAACACCUUCUGUCUGCACCCCAAACCCAACGAUGGUUUUAGGGAAAUUCUGGGAACUCGGAGCACGGCAGGUCCCCGCAUCCCCCUGGAAUUCUCGGAACGGUGCGUGGCCGUCAGGGGGCACUGGGCUGGGGGGGAGGAAGGGCUGAGGGAUCAAUUCUGCACCGCCGGCACCUCCUGCCCUUGGGCUGGGCCCAGGACAGAGAGCUGCAGACACGGAGGCACCAGGCAGGGAAUAAAUAAACUGAUCCC
ensembl:lncRNA